rnacentral:rRNA from 1 species
UGGGAACGUACCCUUUGGUUCGGAACAACUCCGGGAAACUGGAGCUAAUACCGGAUAAGCCCUUCGGGGGAAAGAUUUAUCGCCAAAGGAUCGGCUCGCGUCUGAUUAGCUAGUUGGUGAGGUAACGGCUCACCAAGGCGACGAUCAGUAGCUGGUCUGAGAGGAUGAUCAGCCACACUGGGACUGAGAUACGGCCCAGACUCCUACGGGAGGCAG